UACGGGGGGGGUAAGCGUUGUUCGGAAUUACUGGGCGUAAAGGGCUCGUAGGCGGCCAACUAAGUCAUACGUGAAAUCCCUCAGCUUAACUGGGGAACUGCGUGUGAUACUGGAUGGCUUGGAUUUGGGAGAGGGAUGCGGAAUUCCAGGUGUAGCGGUGAAAUGCGUAGAUAUCUGGAGGAACACCGGUGGCGAAGGCGGCGUUCUGGACUGCAACUGACACUGAGAAACGAAAGCCAGGGGAGCAAACGGG
rnacentral:rRNA from 1 species